ACGGAGGGUGCAAGCGUUAAUCGGAAUUACUGGGCGUAAAGCGCACGCAGGCGGUUUGUUAAGUCAGAUGUGAAAUCCCCGGGCUCAACCUGGGAACUGCAUCUGAUACUGGCAAGCUUGAGUCUCGUAGAGGGGGGUAGAAUUCCAGGUGUAGCGGUGAAAGGCGUAGAGAUCUGGAUGAGUGCCGGUGGCGAAGGCGGCCCACUGGACGGGGACUGAUGCUCAGGUGCGUAAGCGUGGGGAUCCAACAG
rnacentral:rRNA from 1 species